CAUGCAAGUCGAGGGGCAGCAUUUCAGUUUGCUUGCAAACUGGAGAUGGCGACCGGCGCACGGGUGAGUAACACGUAUCCAACCUGCCGAUAACUCGGGGAUAGCCUUUCGAAAGAAAGAUUAAUACCCGAUGGNAUAAUCAGACCGCAUGGUCUUAUUAUUAAAGAAUUUCGGUUAUCGAUGGGGAUGCGUUCCAUUAGGCAGUUGGUGAGGUAACGGCUCACCAAACCUUCGAUGGAUAGGGGUUCUGAGAGGAAGGUCCCCCACAUUGGAACUGAGACACGGUCCAAACUCCUACGGGAGGCAGCAGUGAGGAAUAUUGGUCAAUGGGCGCAGGCCUGAACCAGCCAAGUAGCGUGAAGGAUGACUGCCCUAUGGGUUGUAAACUUCUUUUAUAUGGGAAUAAAGUUUUCCACGUGUGGAAUUUUGUAUGUACCAUAUGAAUAAGGAUCGGCUAACUCCGUGCCAGCAGCCGCGGUAAUACGGAGGAUCCGAGCGUUAUCCGGAUUUAUUGGGUUUAAAGGGAGCGUAGGUGGACAGUUAAGUCAGUUGUGAAAGUUUGCGGCUCAACCGUAAAAUUGCAGUUGAUACUGGCUGUCUUGAGUACAGUAGAGGUGGGCGGAAUUCGUGGUGUAGCGGUGAAAUGCUUAGAUAUCACGAAGAACUCCGAUUGCGAAGGCAGCUCACUGGACUGCAACUGACACUGAUGCUCGAAAGUGUGGGUAUCAAACAGGAUUAGAUACCCUGGUAGUCCACACAGUAAACGAUGAAUACUCGCUGUUUGCGAUAUACAGUAAGCGGCCAAGCGAAAGCAUUAAGUAUUCCACCUGGGGAGUACGCCGGCAACGGUGAAACUCAAAGGAAUUGACGGGGGCCCGCACAAGCGGAGGAACAUGUGGUUUAAUUCGAUGAUACGCGAGGAACCUUACCCGGGCUUAAAUUGCAUUUGAAUANUNUGGAAACAGGUUAGCCGCAAGGCAAAUGUGAAGGUGCUGCAUGGUUGUCGUCAGCUCGUGCCGUGAGGUGUCGGCUUAAGUGCCAUAACGAGCGCAACCCUUAUCUUUAGUUACUAACAGGUCAUGCUGAGGACUCUAGAGAGACUGCCGUCGUAAGAUGUGAGGAAGGUGGGGAUGACGUCAAAUCAGCACGGCCCUUACGUCCGGGGCUACACACGUGUUACAAUGGGGGGUACAGAAGGCAGCUACCUGGUGACAGGAUGCUAAUCCCAAAAGCCUCUCUCAGUUCGGAUCGAAGUCUGCAACCCGACUUCGUGAAGCUGGAUUCGCUAGUAAUCGCGCAUCAGCCAUGGCGCGGUGAAUACGUUCCCGGGCCUUGUACACACCGCCCGUCAAGCCAUGAAAGCCGGGGGUACCUGAAGUACGUAACCGCAAGGAGCUCCUAGG
rnacentral:rRNA from 1 species